AAAAACAUAUUACUUUCAAAUUAAGUUGGUAUCUGGGUAUCCUUAUUGUUUGAUCCUGGCUCAGAUUGAACGCUGGCGGCAGGCCUAACACAUGCAAGUCGAGCGGUAGCACAGAGAGCUUGCUCUCGGGUGACGAGCGGCGGACGGGUGAGUAAUGUCUGGGAAACUGCCUGAUGGAGGGGGAUAACUACUGGAAACGGUAGCUAAUACCGCAUAACGUCGCAAGACCAAAGUGGGGGACCUUCGGGCCUCAUGCCAUCAGAUGUGCCCAGAUGGGAUUAGCUAGUAGGUGGGGUAACGGCUCACCUAGGCGACGAUCCCUAGCUGGUCUGAGAGGAUGACCAGCCACACUGGAACUGAGACACGGUCCAGACUCCUACGGGAGGCAGCAGUGGGGAAUAUUGCACAAUGGGCGCAAGCCUGAUGCAGCCAUGCCGCGUGUAUGAAGAAGGCCUUCGGGUUGUAAAGUACUUUCAGCGGGGAGGAAGGCGAUAAGGUUAAUAACCUUGUCGAUUGACGUUACCCGCAGAAGAAGCACCGGCUAACUCCGUGCCAGCAGCCGCGGUAAUACGGAGGGUGCAAGCGUUAAUCGGAAUUACUGGGCGUAAAGCGCACGCAGGCGGUCUGUCAAGUCGGAUGUGAAAUCCCCGGGCUCAACCUGGGAACUGCAUUCGAAACUGGCAGGCUAGAGUCUUGUAGAGGGGGGUAGAAUUCCAGGUGUAGCGGUGAAAUGCGUAGAGAUCUGGAGGAAUACCGGUGGCGAAGGCGGCCCCCUGGACAAAGACUGACGCUCAGGUGCGAAAGCGUGGGGAGCAAACAGGAUUAGAUACCCUGGUAGUCCACGCCGUAAACGAUGUCGAUUUGGAGGUUGUGCCCUUGAGGCGUGGCUUCCGGAGCUAACGCGUAAAUCGACCGCCUGGAUAGCAAUUUU
rnacentral:rRNA from 1 species